GUUAUAUUUCUUUAAGUGUUUUCUUUGCUUUCGCUGUACUUCUUUAAGAGUUCCUGACGAGGACAUUUGAUGCACAGAUGACUGCGUGCCGGAUCAUGGCCAGGCGCAUCAAGCUUUAAAAAGGAUUGUCCACACUGCCGCUCGUUCCUACGACAUAGUCUGCCGACGAGCUUCCGGGGUUUGUCCGUGUGGGAAGCCCGGUAGUGACCAAGGUGACCGCGGCUACGGCGUUUUCGUGCACCUGUGCAGAGAUUGUCCCCGUGCAGCCAUACACUGGGUCUCUGAUCCGAGCGUUUGCCUCGUACACCAGGCUGUUGGCAACGUCCGAUCGCUGGGCCUCUGGAACUUCCUGCAAGAACCACACCAGUGACAAGCUCAUCAAAGUCUGUCUUUUCAGCAAUCUAGCAACCAUCAAAACGACAAGACGCAUCUCAGAAAGCACACUCCGAAAGAGAAAAGAGUGCCACUUAGAAAGACAAUGGAAUAGUGGUGCUCGGAGGGCCACGGGAAGAGAGGAGGGGAGAGAUGAUUGAUC